ensembl:lncRNA
CUGCAGUCUUUUUCUAUGAGCCCAGCUGUAGCCUCAAAGCCUUGUCAAUACAGUGUGUGGAGGCCAAAAACAAAAUAACAGCCUGCUCCAUUCAGGUUCAGGACCUCAUUUGCCUGUGCUCUGCUUUCCUGAGAGCCCAGAGUGACUGAUUGCAGACCCUGGACUUCUGCAGGAUUAAACUAACAGGUCCUCGGAAGAUGGCAGCAGUAUUCAAAUGGGAUAACAUUCCUCAAAGACCCUGGAAAAUAACUGAUGUAUCUCUGGAUGCUGAGAAAUAAUCCUCAGAGAUUAAAGCAGCAUCUGUGACCAAAC